rnacentral:misc_RNA from 1 species
UCCUCUCUCCAAACCUCGGUUUGGGUGUUGGACCGAGUUGUGGCAACGCAACUGGUCUCAAAGACAAUGACGGCGUCCGUGGGACCCUCUUCGCAACGAGUCUUUUACGAGGCACGCGAGGAGUUGCAAGGUCUCGUCGGGUCGGUCUUACCCUUUUAUUUCUAA